AGGUGCCUCCUGCUCAGAGCAGGAUGUGGAGUGAUACAUUCACCCUUCUUUGCAUUCCCUGUCUCCUGAAGGCCACAUUUAUCAACUUCCCCUUUUCUGGAGAGGAUGUCAGCUUGAGAGAAACUCCUGCAUGGAAGGGGAAGGUGACUCAAUAAGGGAGGAGAAGGAUCACAUGGUGGUAUUAAUGUCACUACACACUCACCAAAGG